CCCUUUUAAAAGUGUAGAAUGACCCCACUUUUGCGAUAACACGCAAUCAAUACAACUUUCAACAACGGAUCUCUUGGCUCUCGCAUCGAUGAAGAACGCAGCGAAAUGCGAUACGUAAUGUGAAUUGCAGAAUUCAGUGAAUCAUCGAAUCUUUGAACGCACCUUGCGCCCCUUGGUAUUCCGAGGGGCACACCCGUUUGAGUGUCGUGAAAAUCUCAACCUUCUCGGUUUCUUCUGAACACCGAAGGAGGCUUGGACUUUGGAGGCCUUUGCUGGUGUCUCUCACCAGCUCCUCUCAAAUGAAUUAGCGGGGUCCUCUUUGCCGUCCUCGACAUGUGAUAAGAUGUUUCCAUGUCUUGGCUUUAUGGCUCUGUUGCUUUGGGACCCGCUUCUAACCGUCUCAGCGAGACAACGUUCGAGCG
rnacentral:rRNA from 1 species